rnacentral:rRNA from 1 species
AGAGCACUGUUUCGGCAAGGGGGUCAUCCCGACUUACCAACCCGAUGCAAACUGCGAAUACCGGAGAAUGUUAUCACGGGAGACACACGGCGGGGGCUAACGUCCGUCGUGAAGAGGGAAACAACCCAGACCGCCAGCUAAGGUCCCAAAGUCAUGGUUAAGUGGGAAACGAUGUGGGAAGGCCCAGACAGCCAGGAUGUUGGCUUAGAAGCAGCCAUCAUUUAAAGAAAGCGUAAUAGCUCACUGGUCGAGUCGGCCUGCGCGGAAGAUGUAACGGGGCUAAACCAUGCACCGAAGCUGCGGCAG